AGCAGCAUGGCGCAGUGGUAGCGCGCGGGGCCCAUAUGAUACAAUGGCGAAUCAAAUUCAAAUUGAUCAUGGAACCCCGAGGUCACUUGAUCGAAACAAGUUGCUGCUA